GAGGGAAGGAGACAGAUAACAAGUGAGAAGACCACAGGAUGCAGUUAGUUAUGUACAGGCUUAACCAAUUCUCUGGUGCAGCAGCAUCAUAAUUCUGAUAAUAUCAGAAUAGUGAGACAGCUAGGUGGGAGUGGGUCUCUGGAGAAACUCCAACCAGUCUGACCACUGAGGUGGAGCCUCAGCAAGUUCACAAGUGUGCAGCGGGGAGGAGCCUGGCCCUCCCUCUUCCUGUGUGAACCUGAGAGUCAAGCUCAGGGCAGGAAGCACUCCAGCAGAUACCUCGCUGGACCCCAAAUGAAACGUUCAAAGAAAGGCAAGCAAGCACUGCAGAAGAGAUGGACUCAAAUGGACUAAAAAGGCAGAGCUUGUUUUUGGCUGUAGCGCCCUUUUGCCAUGACAAAGCUGGGAAAGGAGACACGCAGUCUGUCGCAUUUAUUUCUGAUCAAUCUACAUAAGAAUUGUCAGGCUGGCACGUUGGAUUACUGCUGACUUGUGAGUUGAGAUCCAUUUGCUUCAGGUUUUCACUUUUCAUUCUUAGAAGCCCUGGUCAUCUCCACAGAACUGUAUUUUGUGGAUGUUUUCAUUGUUGGGAAUGUUGAUCAAAUUAGGUGGAAAAAAGAAAAAAAAAAAAAGGAACAUGACCACCUUGAGAUUCUCCUACAUUGACAGAGCACACGUUUGAUCAAAAUGCAAUGUCAUUCGUCUUUCGUGGCUUUUUGUCGAUCAUGUUUGCUGGAAGGAUAAGUGAACUCCAUGAAAAGACAUUUAUCUAAAUUAUCCUGAUAAAGUGCCAUCACUCUGGGUAAAAAGAAAAAUGAGCGAGAAGGCCAGACUCUACGCACAUGCCUUCCACUUGAAUUAACCGAGGAAAAACAUAAAGACACAUCAUGCAACUAGUAUUUUACAUACAUAUGUGUGCUGUGACCACUGAAGUUUGCAAGUUCACCUUGGAUUCAUGGGGGCCUUUCCCCAAAGUAGCAUCCCUUGUAGGAAACAUUGCGGGAAAUCCAGAACUCAGAAAGUGCCUAUGCAAAUGACAUCCCGUUGCACCUAAUUUCUUACUAGUGACAGAGCCACUGGCCCUGGGCACCUGGCGGCCUGCCUGCCUUUCCAGCCUGUGCUAACCAGACUCUCACAGCAGGCUGAGCUGUGCUUACCCACACAUGCGAACGCAUCUUGAACAACUUGAAGCACGGAGAUGGGGCGGCAUGUUCCAAAUCAGCAGGAAAGGAAAUUUCAGAUGGUGGCAAUCAUCGCAGGGAAACGCACCUCACUGAAAUCAAUAGAAUAAUUUUUGAUAAUGUAGCCACUUGAUCUGGUAAUUGGGCCUUUCACCUGUAGUGAACGGCUUCACUGGAGACUUUCUUGAGCUAUUAGAUGCCUCUUACUUGGAGGCUAUCCUGUUUUUAUCUUUCAAAAUAUGUGGAGUAAUUAGCUUUUGAGUUGAGUGCUUUCGCCUCUUCCUCACUCCCCUCACUCCCUUGCAUUUCCACCCGCCCACCCCCAGCUUGCUCUUUUCCAGGCCUGCCCCCGCCCUGCCAGGAGCCACUUGGUAUUGAGCCACUGCUCAUCACAGAAUUGUACAGUCGUUUGAGGGGCAGCACAAUAAACCUCACUCCAUUAUCAUCUUGUAAAUUGAUUUUUUUUUUAAAUCUGGAGGGUGAGUAGGACUGCGCAUCUGCAUUCCCGACCCUUGUCUUCCUAGCCUUGGCUUGUAGCAGGGCUGAAGUACGAUUGACAAUGCUUCUAAUCAGUGCUGUCUGGGGGCCAGGGAGUGAUUUACCUGCAGUGGAGGAGGGUUGGCAAUGUUACCUUGCAUAUCGUCCGAUGACUAAUUCUUUAGAAGUGAGACAAUACAUGUAGUAUACUUCCGAGCAUCACAUUGGUUAACAGCUUUCUCAUAAAAUAGUGUUGGGAA
rnacentral:lncRNA from 1 species